rnacentral:rRNA from 1 species
UGGGGAAUAUUGGGCAAUGGAGGAAACUCUGACCCAGCGACGCCGCGUGCGGGAUGAAGGCCUUCGGGUUGUAAACCGCUUUCAGUAGGGAAGAAGCGAAAGUGACGGUACCUACAGAAGAAGCACCGGCUAACUAUGUG